CUAAACUAUUUCUUUUUUAAUUUCAUAUAGGGCUCUUGGUAUUUUUUACUUUUUUGUAUAUAUCACAGCACAUGAUUUUCCACUUUUUAUUUUAUUUAAUUUUAUUGGAAUUAGCUUCUUUUUAUCCUAAUAGCAACAGUUUGUAAUCUCUAAUUAAUAUGUGACUAGUCCAAAUACAACACCUAUACCUUGAAAAGCAUCAGAAUUUUCCACUAUUUCAUUGAGUCAUCAAAGACUGAAGUGGUAUGUUACUUGAAAAUUUGGUCCUAAAGAAACAUAAGCUGUAGAGGAAAAGCACAGAGAGAAUUUUUACAAAAGACAGAGACUCUAGAACUGUCAUUACAGACACAGACAACCACUGGUAGCAAGAAGUUGGUGUUUUCCCUGUUUUUACUUAAGAUUAGGGAAAUUUUCUGUGACUAUGAACUCUUUGUUUACCAUUUUGGUUCGAAAGAAUAAUACCCAAGACAAAGGGGUAGCAAUUGUUUUUACUCCUUAAUAUUGCCCAUAUUUUAAUAAAUCACACUAAUUAAAUGCAUAUUUUCAGCAUAUCAAUAAGAUUAAUUUUGUGAAUCACACACAUUAAAAUAGUCAUAUUGUUGGAUUAUUAUAGCUGGUAACCAGCUGAUAUUGAUUCUUAUUAUAGGAAAGGUCGUGACGAUGGUGGUGGUAGCAUAGUGAUACUAAUGGUGGUGAUGUGAAGUAAAAUAAAUUGUAUAUUAUAUGUGCCCAAAAUAUUAGGAAUUAUUUGAUCAAUGCUUCAUUUCAUCAAGAAAUCAUAAAGAUGUUUAUAGUAUUUUUUUACUUUAUUAUUUAAAUCAUAACUAACAAUAUUUUUAAAAACUUAUUUUCAUUGCUAGAAUGUCUAAUAUUCUAAAAUCAGCCAACUACAGCUAUGUGUUUAUAAAUAUAUGUGUGACAGAAGUGAUUUUCCCUCUUUUUGAGCUUGAAAUGAAAAUGAGAGGUAGCUCAAUGAAUAAUUAUGAGCUGUUUCUUUAAUAAUUUCUUGCCUUUGGUAUAAUACAAGAAUGAAUGAAUGAAACAGAUUUUCAUUGAAUAAGACACACUGAUGUUUUCUGUAUGUCCCAUGUUGUUAUUAUUAAAGUUACCCAUUAAACCAAAAUCAUUUAAUCAAAUCUCUGAUCUGAUAGGUAGAUUGAGAGCAUUUUCUUAAUUCAUUACCCUGUACAUAACUAUACAUUUGGUAAAAUAGAUGAAGUUGAAAUAUUCAUUUUUUGGCAUUCAGCAUGUGAAUAUUAUUAUUAUUUGAUUGUGUCUAUAUAUUUGUUCGGUGAUGUGCUCAGGUGCUCCCACUACUGAUUAAUGUGUGUGCUAAUAUCCUAACAACACAUAUGAUGUUAAAAAAAUUUCUUGUCUGAUAAAAUUAAAAACCUAAUAAAGUCAAUUUCAAAACAAAAAACAAAGUACUUGGAGAUAUGUCUUGUUUGUGACUAUGUUGCAUGCUGUGUUGGUGAUUUGCUAAUAUUCUUUUCUCUUUCUUUCUUUCUUUCUUUCUUUUUUUUUUCUUUUUCCCCCCUUUGGUUUGCCCAAAUCCCUCUGGGAAAUCUAAUG
rnacentral:lncRNA from 1 species